AUACAGUGCAUCAGAAGGGACAGUACACACCAUCUUUCAUUCCCACCAUUCUUUGUGAAGAGGAAUCCAAAUGUUCUUUGGCCUGAUCGAGUUCUUAUGGGUGCCUUGAGCCAUCCUAGGAGGCAUCCCAAGUAACAACAUUAAGAACGUAUAAAUGUUUGAACUGUGCAGACUUCUUGUUGUGAGAAAAAAAGCCUGCAGCCAAUGAGAUAGAAAUGGAGAGAAGGGCAAUAGCAGCUUGCACACGUCAAGGAUCUGCAGCGCAUGAAACCCCUUAAACUGAAGAUGAUGUUCCUGAAGCCUAGAGAUGUCAGCACUCGCAGUCAGCCGCUUUAUCAUCCAUUGCUCCAUUAACCUCAUCCACCUGGUCAACACAAUUCAAACAUACCAGAUACAGACUCAGUUAAAACAGAUAUGGGUGCAAGUCAUGACACUUUUACAGAUUAAAGAUGUCCGAGAUUCACGAUGAAUGCUGUUUGAAGAAGAAUGAACAGAAUCACAUUUUAAUUUAAUCUCACUGCCAAUGUGGACUUAAAGAGGACGGGCUCUGUUAUGACAACUGUAUUUUUAAGUAACAGAGAUAAGGGUGUUAUUGGAAUCAUUUCAAUAAAAUAUGGGAGUACCGGUACAUACCAGUUUGAUAUCUUGAUUAGACUGGUACUUAAACUUAAACAAAAACGAUAGAUAUUGGACCUCUCUAAUACACAUUAUAAACAUCUCAUGUCUUAAGUCAAUAACAAAGCUGUAAUAAGGCGAUAUUUAGUGUAAUUAACACUUAGGGCUAUUCUCCUAAAACAUAUAACCACCGGGUUUGGCAGAUUUUUAAUAAUAUAUGGUUGGGCUUUUUUGCUAAUUUGCACCCCAAAAGGCACAUUUGCUUUUGUAUGGGGUUGGCAUAAAAACUUAAUAAAUGCCUUCCCUCCAGUGGUUAUAUUUUUAAAUGGACAAAAUAUCAAACUGGUAUGUACCUUAUCAACAUUUUUAGCUGGACUAUUUGAAUAAUAAGGAGGGUUAUACCACUCGCCUCAGCAUCUGCUUUGGCUUUAGCGUCCGGUUAAAGUUUAAGACCAAGUUGGGAUUUUCACUCAUAGGGAUUUUCACUCAUAACUGCAAAACCCUUCAUUAAAGUCACUUAAUACUCCAUACAGUUGUUCAGGGUCAUUACAUAAUGAGGUUAAUACUUCAAUAGCCUUCAUUCAAUGGACUUAAUACCUUGCACAAUUAAUGAUGAACAUCUUACAAUAAGGUGACAUAACUCCAUUUUAACUAAAUACAAAUUAUUGCCCUUUUUUCAUUUUUAUUUCUUAUGUCAGGCACAUUUAUAUAUUCUUAACAGGGUUUUUGAAAGCUAAUUGUUUGGGCGGGCUGGUGGAAGGGUCUUCAAAGUCACCUUAUGUGUAAAAUAAUUUUAGCUAGGUUUGACAUAUAGUGACCAAACUUCGUAUGUAGGAAGCCUUUAUGAAGACCUUUCAUGAGAUUGCGUUUUAGGCUUCUGGGAUCAAUAUAAAGGUCAAAGUUACUAUUAAAAGCAAAAGAACUGGUAUUGAUUAACUUAAAGGUCGACAUAUUGUGACCAAACUUGGUUUAUAUGAAAGUUCAUACAGACUUUUUAUGCCCCCGAAGGUGGGCAUAUUAAAAUUGCACCGUCCGUCCGUCCGGCUCUGUAACUUUCCCUUGUAUGGACAGAUUUUAAAAUAACUUGCCAAAUGUGUUCCACAUACCAAGACGACGUGUGGCGUGCAAGACCCGUGUCCCUACCUCAAAGGUCAAGGUCACACUUAGUGUUUAUUCACAAUGGAGUGCUGCAUAUAAGGACAUAGAGUAUAGGUUGUCGUGUCCGGGCUGUAACUUUCUCUUGUAUGGACAGAUUUUAAAAUAACUUGCCACAUGUGUACCACAUACCAAGACGACGUGUCGCGUGCAAAACCCGUGUCCCUACCUCAAAGGACAAGGUCACACUUAGUGUUUAUUCACCAUAGAGUGCUGCAUAUAAGCAUAGAGUAUAGGUUGUCGUGUCCGGGCUGUAACUUUCCCUUGUAUGGACAGAUUUUAAAAUAACUUGCCACAUGUGUACCACAUACCAAGACGACGUGUCGCGUGCAAGACCCGUGUCCCUACCUCAAAGGUCAAGGUCACACUUAGUGUUUAUUCACAAUGGAGUGCUGCAUAUAAGGACAUAGAGUAUAGGUUGUUGUGUCCGGGCUGUAACUUUCCCUUGUAUGGAUAGAUUUUAAAAUAACUUGCCACACGUGUUCCACAUACCAAGACGAUGUGUCGCGUGCAAGACCCGUGUCCCUACCUCAAAGGUCAAGGUCACACUUAGUGUUUAUUUACAAUGGAGUGAUGCAUACAAGGACAUAGGGUAUAGGUUGUCGUGUCCGGGCUGUAACUUUCCCUUGUAAAGACAGAUUUUAAAAUAACUUGCUACAUGUGUUCCUCAUACGAAGACGACGUGUCCUGUGCAAGACCCAUGUCCCUACCUCUAAGGUGAAAGAUACACUAAGUGUUUAUUCACAAGGGAAUUCUGAAUAUAAGGACAUAACAGUGUAGGUUGUCAAGUAUGGGUGGUAUUUUUUUAUGUUCAGAGGAAAUUUAAAAUAACUUGCCAUAUGUAUUUGACACAUAAAGGCAAGAUCAACUUUUCAUGUACUGGCCUUGUUCGUAGGUCAAUGUCACAUUCGGGGGCAUUCGUCACAUACUGUGACAGCUCUUGUUUAUUGUGUUUUGGGUUAUGAUCUAGGUCAAAGUCAGUAUUGCUGAAAAGUACAAUUAUAGUUUGUACUGAAUAAGUAAGGGGUGACAAUGUGUGACCAAACUUGGUAUAUAUGACAAGUUAAUGGAGAGCUUUCAUUCGAAUGCCUUGGGCCCCUUAGGGUCAAUGUCACUGUUACUAAAAAAAUAUUACUUUUUGGUACUGAAUACCAUAAGUUAUGGUUGAUAUACUGUGACCAAACUUGAUAUAUAGGAAGAGUUUAUUGAGAACUUUCAUGAGAUUGUGUUUUGGGCGCAUAGGAUCUAGGUCACUGUUAUAAAAAUAGAAGACAGCAGUUGAAACUGAACUUCUUCUGCCAAUCCUUAACAAAACAAUUAUUGUCGCAUCACGAUUCUUGUUUACUUUUUAAAUUGAUUUUUCUAUUGCUUUUGACAAGCACAUAUUACAUCAUAAUGUAAGAAGAUACAUUGUUAAAAAAAAACAGAAAAUGUUAAUUUGAAUAAGAGUGUCACUUCUUUUAAAUUUGUAGCUGUUUACUUACCAUGAAUUUAUCUUUAAAUACAACUUGUACUUUUUAUGUGUAGGGUACGAGUUGGACCAUAUUGAGAGAUUGUUUUAAAUAGCAUAUGCUAAAACAUACUGUGACUGUUGUUGCUGCCUUUUAAUUUUAUGAAAAGUAUUGCUUUAUUAUUUUUUUAAAUUCCAUAUUCUUAAGCUCCUAAUUCUUGUCAGGUAAUUUUUAAAUCAAAUUAAUUGUUAAAGUGACACUCUUAUUCAAAAUCAAUGCAUACAUAUGUAUAACAAACAUAUGUUUUGAGUGAUAAACCUUUAACUACUUACUAAAUAAUGCAUUGAUGGAACAUAUUUAUUACUGGUAGCAAGUUUGUAACCCUGUAUUUAAUAACAGAAAACGCAAAAAUAUUUAAUGAUUGAUGAAUGCUAAAAGAUUUACUGUGAUCUACUUUAAUAGUCUCAUAAGGUAGAUACACCAUGUUUUAUGCACAUUUCUUUCAAAUCAAAAUCGGUAUCCUUCAUGAGAACCAUUGCUUUCAACAUUCAUUUAUUCUUUUCACAAUAUUAAAACAAUAGUAUUAGUAGUGGUAAACCUUUUUGGGAGUAAGAGUGCAUCUUUAAAAAAUGUGGUUAAUGUGGAUAUAUUAUGAUCUAUGUGUCUUUGCACGUAUGCACUUGCUAGUAUUGCCUAAGAAUUUGACCUCUGAUAUUUUAUGUAGUAGUUAGAUGAUAUGAAGUAAAUUCUGUCAGAGUUAGUGGAACUAAUGAUCCAUUCUUAAUCAUUGAAAUGUACUAACAAGGCAUCUCACAGUCUUAUGUCUUUGUAUGCCUUUGAGGUUAUGUCUCCACAAAUCUUUAUCAUGGCCUGACAGUCUGCUUUCUUUAAUUUGUGUCUUUGUAUUAAAAAUAUGUAUUAUUUUUAAUACAUAUUUUAUUUAUAGUACUGCAUUUAUCUCCUAUCGAUUUUCAUGUUUUAUGUAACUUGAAACUUUCAUUAAGUUGUAAAAACAUUAAAUCUGUGAGAGUGUAGCUUUAAGAGAAACAUUAGUGAUUUUAGCAUCAAACUUGUUUUAUAUGUUCUUUUUAAGUUCUAGGUUAUUCUGUAAUCAUUAACCAUCAUUGUGCCAUAGAUAGACCUGUGAAAAAUUAUUAUAAUGUACUAUGUUAUAUUAUUGAAUAAAAUACUGAACAUGUUA